GGGGGUGAUCGGUUUCGACUGGGGAUGUCGAGGCAGGAGAAGCGAGCCGAGGAACGCGGCAAUGAUCUCGUUAACCACGUGUCGCAAAACAUAAUCGCCAACACCAAGCGCGAUACCUUCGCCCUCGCCGCCUGAGCGAGCAUCGAAGGAGUCAGACCGGGCGCGUCUCCGUCCCGGAUCCUGGCUUAAUCUAGGAGACUCCACCGUUCGGCCCGGUCGCGGGGGCGCACGGAACACCAAACAGUGACUGAGCCCGUCGGGAGCUUGUCUGCGUGACUCCCGGGGCCGAGAAAAGCACAGCAGACUGCGCUCGGAGAAGCCCUGGUUCCGCACCACAGGACGCGGGUUCGAUUCCCGCCACCUCCACCA
rnacentral:tmRNA from 1 species